UACAGAGGUCUCAAGCGUUGUUCGGAUUCAUUGGGCGUAAAGGGCGCGUAGGCUGCGGGGCAAGUCGGGUGUGAAAUCUCAGAGCUCAACUCUGAAACUGCACUCGAUACUGCUUUGCUUGAGGACUGGAGAGGAGAUUGGAAUUCCUGGUGUAGCGGUGAAAUGCGCAGAUAUCAGGAGGAACACCGGUGGCGAAGGCGGUUCUCUGGGCCUGUACUGACGCUGAGGAGCGAAAGCGUGGGGAGCGAACAGG
rnacentral:rRNA from 1 species